rnacentral:sRNA from 12 species
UUUUAUUACCGGAGAGAAAUCUUGUCAGGUCGAUAGCUAGAUGACGAUUAGCAAUAAUUAAGCGUGCUAUAUGUACGCCGCUCUAGUUGGGAGAAAACCACAAUGGUGGUUUUUUUUCUUAUGGAA